rnacentral:rRNA from 1 species
CGUGGAGACAGGUGGUGCAUGGCUGUCGUCAGCUCGUGUCGUGAGAUGUUGGGUUAAGUCCCGCAACGAGCGCAACCCUCACCCCUAGUUGCCACCGGGUUAAGCCGAGCACUCAAGGGGAACUGCCAGCGUCAAGCUGGAGGAGGGCGGGGAUGACGUCAAGUCAUCAUGCCCCUUACGCCCUGGGCUACACACGUGCUACAAUGGCCAGUACAAAGGGACGCGAGACUGCGAAGUGGAGCUAAUCCCAAAAAGCUGGUCUAAGUUCAGAUUGCAGUCUGCAACUCGACUGUAUGAAGGAGGAAUCGCUAGUAAUCGCGUAUCAGCCCGGCGCGGUGAAUACGUUCCCGGGCCUUGUACACACCGCCCGUCACACCACGAAAGCUGUCUGUACUCGAAGUCGCUGAG